rnacentral:rRNA from 1 species
CGUAGGGAGCAAGCGUUGUUCGGAUUUACUGGGCGUAAAGGGCGCGUAGGCGGCAAAUCAAGUCAGCUGUGAAAUCUCCGAGCUUAACUCGGAACGGUCAGCUGAUACUGCUUUGCUAGAGUGCGGAAGGGGCAAUCGGAAUUCUUGGUGUAGCGGUGAAAUGCGUAGAUAUCAAGAGGAACACCUGAGGUGAAGACGGGUUGCUGGGCCGACACUGACGCUGAGGCGCGAAAGCCAGGGGAGCAAACGGGAUUAGAUACCCCGGUAGUCCUGGCCUUAAACGAUGAAUACUUGGUGUCUGGAGUCUCUAUAGCUCCGGGUGCCGUCGCUAACGUUUUUAGUAUUCCGCCUGGGGAGUACGCACGCAAGUGUG